rnacentral:rRNA from 1 species
UACGUAGGGUGCGAGCGUUGUCCGGAAUUAUUGGGCGUAAAGAGCUCGUAGGCGGUGUGUCGCGUCGGCCGUGAAAACCUGCAGCUUAACUGUGGGCGUGCGGUCGAUACGGGCAUCACUGGAGUUCGGCAGGGGAGACUGGAAUUCCUGGUGUAGCGGUGAAAUGCGCAGAUAUCAGGAGGAACACCAGUGGCGAAGGCGGGUCUCUGGACGAUUCCUGACGGCUGAGGCACGAAAGCCAGGGGAGCAAACGGG